GAUGAAGAACGUAGCGAAAUGCGAUAAGUAGUGUGAAUUGCAGAAUUCCGUGAAUCAUCGAAUCUUUGAACGCACAUUGCGCCUUCUGGUAUUCCGGAAGGCAUGCCUGUUCGAGAGUCAUUAACAACCGUUUCGAUCCCUUUCUUUCAGAAAUUACAAAGAGGAAAAGGGUUUGGUUAUGGUGGAGGAGGGAAAGGGAGCGUUUAGCCUGUAAAAAAAGAGGCUGUGUUCCGCCUCCCCUCCAAAAUUGUACAGGCGGUCGUGUGCGCCCACGCAUCGAGGUGUUGUAAAAGCUGCCACGGCACUUUUCACCUGUGCAGUGCGAGAUUGGCCAGCCGGUUUAAAAACCCCUCCAAACAAUCAAAGGUUGACCUCGGAUCAGGUAGGGAUACCCGCUGAACUUAAGCAUAUCAAUAAGCGGAGGA
rnacentral:misc_RNA from 1 species